GCAGCCUGAAAGCGUCAUGACGUCAUGGCCCUGGAGACCGUCGGGCGCAGCUCAAGAGAAACAGAGACAAAGAACAAUGGCGGCGGCAGCGGUUACAGAGAGAGAGAGUGAGAGAGAGAAGAGAGAGAGGAACAUUGCUGCCGCAGAUCGUCACUCAAUGAUUUUUUAAUGAGUAAAAACCUUCUCACAGAAGAAGGGAUAGUGAUGCAAACAAUUUAUCAAGAAAUGAGUGUUGAUGGUUUACCAUAUUUCCUGGAAGAGCAGCAGGCAGCCGGGAAUCUGUCAGUUGAGUUUCUAGACAAACCCACGCCAUGCAUGUGAUCUCCUUUCCGAUCAAGUGAAUAAAAAGAGCAAAGCGACACCAACUCAGGACGAUGACGCAAUCCGCAGAAACUUAGAUACCCGUGAAGUGAGUUUCACUGAUCUGAGAUGAACACGAGAACUCGCUGGGAAACCGCAAUCAUGUGUUUGGCAAUACGAGUAUCAACCCUUUUGUGAAUAUAUUUUGUGUCAUACAAUAAUGAGCUUAUCUGUUUGAUUUUCUUGCACAAAUGCCAGAGAUGAUGAAAAGCAUUUUAUACAUACGCUUGUUCCCAUGGAAAUCCAUAGCGCUGUAUGAACAUUUGCUUUUCUCCAACACGAUAUUCUGAAUGAAAGUACAACAUGAAAAAUAACUUGAAAUAUUGGAGCGCCUUUCCACAGGACAGCUUCUGGGGUUGCUAUCGUGACUGGAAGGAGAGGAGAACGACAGUCGAAGAUUUUAAGGCGAAACUUCAAGAUAUUUAAAGAGAAGACGAGGCUUGGAGAUUGAAACAUUCAAUGACUAAAGUUUGGGAGCCAGUAGCACAUGGCAACGACAACCAAUGGCGAAGUAAAAUGUCGGGGACCUGCUGUAGGUCUGUGCAUUCUGCGCGUAAAGUCGGGACCUGGUGAGCGGCCAGAGGUGGAACUAACCUCGCUGUGGAAACCUGAGAUAAAAGGUGCUGAGACCAAAGACGGUCUAAUUCUGGUCAGUUAAAACAAAAACUCGGAACACGAAAUCAGAAUCACUGCAGUCACUUUUAUUUCAUGCCUUAUAAUCUAUUCUUUUACGAGAGGAAAAAACACAUAAUUUCACAAUGAGUCAAUAAACGUGGUAAUGGCAGCAGCAUUGCAGUAAAGAAUAAAGAUUUACACAAUAUAGGACCAGAUCAUCAGCAAACAUCACAACAAAAUGAAGCUCCACUAACAAGUUCAUUUCUUCUCGCUUUGACAAUUUAUCCCUUCAUUAUACCGAUAUUUGUUAAUAAUAUUUUAUCUGGAGUUAUGCAAACUAUGUUUUGAGUUCAGGUUAGUUUAACUACGAUUACCUUUCUGCUUGGUUAAGUCAAGAAACGCUAACUAGCAAAGGCACACCUAACUUAGCUAAAACAAUAAACUGAACAGUGAUCAUCGCUGAUCACACGGCGACCAAACAGGAAGGGAGGCGAGGAAACCUUUACCAUAACUAAAGAGGGACAGUAUAAUAUGGCACAAACAUUAUUGUUAUAAAUGUCGAUUUAGCGGAUAAAUAUUGUAACAGACACAGUUAUAAAUAUACGGGUGAACAGUAUGUAUUUUCUGGUUUAACGUUUGCUCCAGUUUGUCUUCUUCUAUUUCACUUUUUAGAAUAUUUACUAUUGAUUGUGAAAGGAUAUUUAAUUGCAUUCUUCAGCUCCUCUCUGAAUUUGGUCUGAGUGACCGCAUAGAUGGCUGUGUUUGUGCAGGAACUCAGCAGCUGAAGCAUAAAACCUGCUUCUUCAAACAUUGCCAACGGGUUAUAGAGACCUCUCGACCUGUAAAGCUCUUUAACUCUGUAUUGUAUAUAAUGUGCAAUAGAUGUCAUCCACAACAAUAUAAAGCUAAGUGAUACACUGAA